CAGCCGCCACGGUAAUACGGAGGGCGCGAGCGUUACCCGGAUUUACUGGGCGUAAAGCGCACGUAGGCGGAUCGAUCAGUCAGGGGUGAAAUCCCAGAGCUCAACUCUGGAACUGCCUUUGAUACUGUCGAUCUGGAGUAUGGAAGAGGUGAGUGGAAUUCCGAGUGUAGAGGUGAAAUUCGUAGAUAUUCGGAGGAACACCAGUGGCGAAGGCGGCUCACUGGUCCAUUACUGACGCUGAGGUGCGAAAGCGUGGGGAGCAAACAGGAUUAGAUACCCCAGUAGUCCCUGUCUAUUAUAC
rnacentral:rRNA from 1 species